UUUCAGCCGGAUGCUGACUAUGUAGUCGGCCUCAUCGCUCCUGAAAUGAGCAGGUGAGGAACCUUCAGGACUGCCAUAGUCAGAAACUUUAAGGACUUUGUUCAAGAUGUGGAAAGGAGGAAUGGAGGAAAAGGCAGUGCACUUGGAGGAGAGGAAGAAGAUGGACAAGUGGAGCUAUCCAGUCGAACAGUUUUCACUGUCCCUAAAGUUAUGCUAUGGGUCAGGGACAAGUAUUUAUACAAAUCAUUUUUAAAUGUAGGCCUUAGACACUCAUUGUAAAUAAGACAAAUAAAACCCAAUAGUUUACCCUUUUGACCUCCAUACAGCAAAGUGGCACAUCCCAAAUUAUGCUGAGCUGCAGGUCACCAGUCUAUGGUCCAUGAAGUGUCAGUCAUGGUGCAGCAUGGGGCGGCAGCGUAGCCUAGUGGUUAGAGCGUUGGACUAGUAAACGGAAGGUUGCAAGUUCAAACCCCCGAGCUGACAAGGUACAAAUCUGUCGUUCUGCCCCUGAACAGGCAGUUAACCCACUGUUCCCAGGCCGUCAUUGAAAAUAAGAAUGUGUUCUUAACUGACUUGCCUGGUUAAAUAAUGGUAAAAUAAAAAAAUAAAUUGUAAAUAAAUCCACCUGCUUAAUUGCAUCACUUGUUUUUGUUACAUAUUGUAUCACAUGACAUUCUGUUGAUUUGUAUCUAUUUGAAUGUUUAUUUUCUGUCAAAAGGAAAAAGAAUUGACUUAAUGACUGCAGUUCUUUGUAUGCAAACACUUCCAUUUUAGUCAUUUAAAUAAAUGUUGUCCAUAGUGUGGUGGUAGAAUGUGGUGAGCUGGUCUGUAGCCUAUUCUGUGUUGGACUGUGAUUUGCCUCUCAGACUCCUGGUAUGUCUGCACCCUAACACAAUGCAAUUGUGUUCUGGAACUAUUGCUUGUAUAAAUAACUUGUGUAGCAAUAGGAUUGUAUUAUCUCAUUAUAUAAGGGACAUGUAACCAUUUACUCUUUGAGUUCUUCCCAGUGAAAUCAGAGAUAUACCCUGCAGCUCCUUGAUUAAAGAUUUUUCUAUUAUACAAUUAAA